AAGAUGUAGCUUAAUUAAAGCACCCGGCUUACACCCGGAAGACUUCACAUUCUUAUGAACAUCUUGAA
rnacentral:tRNA from 1 species